rnacentral:lncRNA from 1 species
GAACACAAAAUGGCGACACGUGGUUAGCAUUCGUCGCCAACGAGAAAUUGGGGUCGGCCCGAAAGCUCUAGAAUGCACCCCUCUUCCUCCCCGGGGCCUUCCACCUCCGCGAGUUUUAUGACUUAAAAAAGCCCACAGGCUGGUCUGAAGAGGAAGACAAACAUAAAGAUGAAGUGCUUAAUUCAAGGUCACACAAUGUCGGGGAUGGACCUCCAGAUUUCCUUACUGACCUGCAUUAUCUUGUGGAUACCUGAGUGAAUUCCACACCACCCAUUUUAUAGAUGAAACCACUGAGACAUGGAGCAAUUGACUGAGUAGUCACUGCCCCACCCCUGCCUGGAGCCUCACACAUGACUCGCCUCCUCUCAGUGACCACAGGUGAGACGUGGUCUUGUAACACAGUGGUUAAGAAUGUGACUUUGGAGCCAGCCUGCUAGGGGCUGAAUUCUGACUCAGCCAUUUACUAACUGUGUGACCUUAGUUCCCUGAGCACAUGCUGUUGAGUAAUCCUGCCUGGACCAGUACUUCCCUCACCCUAGACUUCACCUUCAGUUCCCCUUUAUACCACCUGCUGAAGCUGCCAGCCAGCCUUUUCGACCACCCUCCCUCCCCCAGGGGUGUUUGGCUUCUCAGACCCCAGCCUGAGCUAGUGCCCUUGGCUUCCUAGGGUCUUGCCAGGAAAGCAAAGGAGAACAUGCAUACCGCCAAAGAGUACCUAAUAAUAAGAACUCCCAUCCUGAAUUGUGAUUUAUAGUCAGCAUAGCACAUGUGUCAGGUGAUUAUACUUAGGCUGAUUUUAGCCUUAAUAAUCUGCUUCUGUGAUCCUGUAUGUGGGAAGCCUAGAAAUUUCUCUGUGAUCCUCCUUCCUGGAUCACUAAGAGACAAGUCAAGACAUAGGUCCAUUCUACCACCUGUGUUAAUCUGGGCCUUGUUGAGACCAUUUAAAGAAAGGCGUGAUGCUAGAAGUAAGGUCCAGGCCUCCUGCACACUGUUUCAAGGCUGUGACCAUAGUCAGAUCCUGUUGCUUGAGUCCAAAGAGUUUAAAAUAGUGUUGGAAACCUCCUAGGGAAAAAACAAAAAACAAAACACCACAUCUUCCUGGGUAAGGAAGUGACAUGUGCUGACUAGAGCAGGAGGGGUAGCCAAGGCUCCAAGUUCUAUUCUGGACCUGUUGUUGAUUUGAGGUGUGACAUUCAGCAAUCUGAGCUGAUGUUCUGUAGCUCUGAUUGGUUUCUCAUCUUCUGCAGAGAGAGUGAAAGAGGCUGUGCUUGCAGGGGAAAAGGUGAACACUGGUCUCCUGUCCUUUAGGAGAGCUUCACCAUUACACGUCCUGCCUCUCAUUUGAAUUUCCAGGCUUUUUUAGAGUCUCGCUCUAUUGCCCAGAUUGGAGUGCAGUGGUGUGAUCUCGGCUCACUGCAACCUCUGCCUCUGGGUUUAAGCGAUUCUCUCACCUCAGCCUCCCAAGUAGCUGGAAUUAUAGGUGCGUGCCACCAUGCCUGGCUAAUUUUUGUGUUUUUAGUAGAGACAGGGUUUCACCAUGUUGGCCAGGCUAGUCUCGAACUCCUGACCUCAAGUGAUCCACCCACCUCGGCCUCCCAACCAGGCUUUUUUAAAUGCAGAAACCGCCCGCCCCCAGAGUUAAUAUGGAAACCCAGCAAUGUUGUUUAUGUUUUACUUGAAUUCGUUUCAUCAGAAUUGCAUUCCUUUUAACAGUGUGAUUAGAUCAGCUCUUAGAGGGGAUGGCAGCUUCAGUAGGGUUUAGGAAAGGAAAGGAAUAUUUGUGUGGGGCACACACUUUGGCUUUGAUAGCUUGAGGAUACCAGGUACAUGAUAAUUUAGAUGGAUAACAGAAACUUGUGUCCCUUGAGAGCCAGGCAUGUAUUAGAUGCUUUCAUACAUUAUUUAAUUGUAAUACAAACCAAUAAAGUAUUCCCAUUUUUUGCACAUGGGCAAGCUGAAAGUCAAAGAAGUUAUGUAACUUGCCC